rnacentral:rRNA from 8 species
CAACUUUCAACAAUGGAUCUCUUGGCUCUGGCAUCGAUGAAGAACGCAGCGAAAUGCGAUAAGUAGUGUGAAUUGCAGAAUUCAGUGAAUCAUCGAAUCUUUGAACGCACAUUGCGCCCCUUGGUAUUCCAUGGGGCAUGCCUGUUCGAGCGUCAUC